AGAGAUUUAGGUUAAAGCAGACCAAGGGCCUUCAAAGCCCUAAGUGGGGGUUAAAAUCCCCCAGCCUCUG
rnacentral:tRNA from 1 species